rnacentral:sRNA from 10 species
AUUUUAAUUAAGAAGGCAACUCUUAACUAGGCCAUUUAAAGAAAAACCGAGAGGUUCAAGCUUAAAGGGCAGAAAGGUGGACCUAGUAGCGCUAGAAUAGUUCAUCGAUACGGCUUGGCGGUAGCGCCUAAAACGACGAGCCAA